rnacentral:lncRNA from 1 species
AAGGUGCAGAAAGGAAGAGAUUACAAUCAUGUGGUCGGGGUAGAAGAUCCCUCUGCUGAGAGGACAAGAGAGUUGAGAACUUCAGGAUGAAAAGGGUGAGUUUUCCAGGCCCAGGAAAAUCAAGUGCAGAGGCUCUGGGACAAACUAGGUGGGUUUUUUUUAGGAUGUAAAGGCAGAGUGGCAGCAACUUUGUGAGCAAAGGGCUAAGGCCAAGGUGGGAGGUGCGACGGCAAAGCUGGGAAAGGGUUUGAACCAAUCCGAGUCAAAGGAAUCAGGCUCCCAGGCUGUACGGACCAGGCUGUCCAGUUCGCCGAUGCGGGUGCAGUCAAGUGCCUGAAGCCACCCGGCACCUGGCGCGGGGCUGAGGCAAGCGACCCCGAGAGCGUCCAGGCCCAGGAGCCAAAGUCGAUCCGGCGACGGGCGCUCCAGAAACGACUAUCUUCACCGUGCGGUGACCAAAUCACCCCCUCCAACAGCGAACUCAUUGGUUUCGCCCCUCAACCCGCAUUGGCUGAGGAUUUACGCCUCGACCAGGGAUUGGAGAAUGACAGGUUUUACCUAAUUUCCCCAAUCCCAUUGGCUCGUCGUCCCCGUUUCUGGGCGGAGUGGACGGGGACGGUUUCCACCCUGUUGUUUACGGAGCGCUUAGUUGUAGUUCUGGGGCUGUCUCCAAAGUUCCCUAUUUAGCUACUCGGACCAAUUGGGGCCUGGCUCCACCCUCUCUCCCUCCCUCACACGCGUUCCUCGUGGUACGGCCCACACCUUUACAGCGGCGGCGCGUGCGGACGCCCGGCGCGUCCACCCCCCGGGCGCUUUGGUACGGUCCACACCGCCUCCUUCCUCGGUCCUCUGGCGGCGCCCCUCCCGGUCGGUGGCGUUUGGUGCCGCCCGGGAGAACCAGGUCAUCGGUCGGUUAGCGUGAAAACAAAAACAAUCGGUGGCGCCGCAGCGGGC